UACGUAGGGUGCGAGCGUUAAUCGGAAUUACUGGGCGUAAAGCGUGCGCAGGCGGUUUGCUAAGACCGAUGUGAAAUCCCCGGGCUCAACCUGGGAACUGCAUUUGUGACUGCAUGGCUAGAGUACGGUAGAGGGGGAUGGAAUUCCGCGUGUAGCAGUGAAAUGCGUAGAUAUGCGGAGGAACACCGAUGGCGAAGGCAAUCCCCUGGACCUGUACUGACGCUCAUGCACGAAAGCGUGGGGAGCAAACAGG
rnacentral:rRNA from 1 species